rnacentral:rRNA from 1 species
CGGCAGGCCUAACACAUGCAAGUCGAGCGGUAGCACAGAGAGCUUGCUCUCGGGUGACGAGCGGCGGACGGGUGAGUAAUGUCUGGGAAACUGCCUGAUGGAGGGGGAUAACUACUGGAAACGGUAGCUAAUACCGCAUAACGUCGCAAGACCAAAGUGGGGGACCUUCGGGCCUCAUGCCAUCAGAUGUGCCCAGAUGGGAUUAGCUAGUAGGUGGGGUAACGGCUCACCUAGGCGACGAUCCCUAGCUGGUCUGAGAGGAUGACCAGCCACACUGGAACUGAGACACGGUCCAGACUCCUACGGGAGGCAGCAGUGGGGAAUAUUGCACAAUGGGCGCAAGCCUGAUGCAGCCAUGCCGCGUGUAUGAAGAAGGCCUUCGGGUUGUAAAGUACUUUCAGCGGGGAGGAAGGCGAUAAGGUUAAUAACCUUGUCGAUUGACGUUACCCGCAGAAGAAGCACCGGCUAACUCCGUGCCAGCAGCCGCGGUAAUACGGAGGGUGCAAGCGUUAAUCGGAAUUACUGGGCGUAAAGCGCACGCAGGCGGUCUGUCAAGUCGGAUGUGAAAUCCCCGGGCUCAACCUGGGAACUGCAUUCGAAACUGGCAGGCUAGAGUCUUGUAGAGGGGGGUAGAAUUCCAGGUGUAGCGGUGAAAUGCGUAGAGAUCUGGAGGAAUACCGGUGGCGAAGGCGGCCCCCUGGACAAAGACUGACGCUCAGGUGCGAAAGCGUGGGGAGCAAACAGGAUUAGAUACCCAGGUAGUCCACGCCGUAAACGAUGUCGAUUUGGAGGUUGUGCCCUUGAGGCGUGGCUUCCGGAGCUAACGCGUUAAAUCGACCGCCUGGGGAGCACGGCCGCAAGGUUAAAACUCAAAUGAAUUGACGGGGGCCCGCACAAGCGGUGGAGCAUGUGGUUUAAUUCGAUGCAACGCGAAGAACCUUACCUGGUCUUGACAUCCACAGAACUUAGCAGAGAUGCUUUGGUGCCUUCGGGAACUGUGAGACAGGUGCUGCAUGGCUGUCGUCAGCUCGUGUUGUGAAAUGUUGGGUUAAGUCCCGCAACGAGCGCAACCCUUAUCCUUUGUUGCCAGCGGUUAGGCCGGGAACUCAAAGGAGACUGCCAGUGAUAAACUGGAGGAAGGUGGGGAUGACGUCAAGUCAUCAUGGCCCUUACGACCAGGGCUACACACGUGCUACAAUGGCAUAUACAAAGAGAAGCGACCUCGCGAGAGCAAGCGGACCUCAUAAAGUAUGUCGUAGUCCGGAUUGGAGUCUGCAACUCGACUCCAUGAAGUCGGAAUCGCUAGUAAUCGUAGAUCAGAAUGCUACGGUGAAUACGUUCCCGGGCCUUGUACACACCGCCCGUCACACCAUGGGAGUGGGUUGCAAAAGAAGUAGGUAGCUUAACCUUCGGGAGGGCGCUUACCACUUUGUGAUUCAUGACUGGGGUGAAGUCAUAA